rnacentral:tRNA from 1 species
GAGGAUAUAGCUCAAAUGGUAGAGCGCUUACUUAGCAUGCAAUGAGGUCCUGGGUUCAAUCCCCAGUACCUCCC